UUGGAGGGCAAGUCUGGUGCCAGCAGCCGCGGUAAUUCCAGCUCCAAUAGCGUAUAUUAAAGUUGUUGCAGUUAAAAAGCUCGUAGUUGAAUUUCGAGACCGGUCUACUGGUCGUGCUUUUGUACGUACUGGUUUUAUUGGUUUCUCCUUUCUGACGAACUAUAAUGCCAUUAAUUUGGUGUUAUGGGGAAUCAGGACUGUUACUUUGAAAAAAUUAGAGUGUUUAAAGCAGGCUCACGCUUGAAUACAUUAGCAUGGAAUAACGGAAUAGGACGUUUGAUUCUAUUUUGUUGGUUUCUAGGAUCGACGUAAUGAUUAAUAGGGAUAGUUGGGGGCAUUAGUAUUCAAUUGUCAGAAGUGAAAUUCUUGGAUUUAUUGAAGACUAACUACUGCGAAAGCAUUUGCCAAGGAUGUUUUCAUUAAUCAAGAACGAAAGUUAGGGGAUCGAAGACGAUCAGAUACCGUCGUAGUCUUAACCAUAAACUAUGCCGACUAGGGAUCGGAUGAUGUUAAUUUUUUAAUGACUCAUUCGGCGCCUUACGGGAAAC
rnacentral:rRNA from 1 species